AUCGAACGCUGGCGGCAGGCCUAACACAUGCAAGUCGAACGAGUGGCGGACGGGUGAGUAAUGCUUGGGAAUCUAGCUUAUGGAGGGGGAUAACUACGGGAAACUGUAGCUAAUACCGCGUACCAUAGGAUGAGCACAAGUGGGAUUAGGGAGUUGGUGGGGUAAAGGCUCACCAAGCCGAAGAUCCCUAGCUGGUCUGAGAGGAUGACCAGCCACACUGGAACGGAGACCCGGACCAGACUCCUACGGGAGGCACCAGUGGGGAAUAUUGCACAAUGGGCGCAAGUCUGAUCCAGCCAUGCCGCGUGUAUGAAGAAGGCCUUCGGGUUGUAAAGUACUUUCAGCGGGGAGGCGUUACUCGCAGAAGAAGCACCGGCUAACUCCGUGCCAGCAGCCGCGGUAAUAC
rnacentral:rRNA from 1 species